rnacentral:misc_RNA from 1 species
AGUCGUAACAAGGUUUCCGUAGGUGAACCUGCGGAAGGAUCAUUAACGUGCAUCCAUCUCAAUUGAUGAAAUCGACAGUGGAAAACGAAAAAAAAUAUUAAAAUGACACGAAGCGAAGGAGUGAUAGAGGGGAGACUCUCUUUCUCUUUUGCUUUGUUCAUUUUGAAACCACCACAUUCACCAAAACCAUUUGAAAAAACCCAUUCUCACUAAUUUGAAAAAAAAAGUCUGACGACUUUCAACGGUGGAUCUCUUGGCUCGU